rnacentral:rRNA from 1 species
AAACUAACAAGGAUUCCCCUAGUAGCGGCGAGCGAAGCGGGAAAAGCUCAAAUUUGUAAUCUGGCGCCUUCGGCGUCCGAGUUGUAAUCUCGAGAAGUGUUUUCCGUGAUAGACCGCAUACAAGUCUCUUGGAACAGAGCGUCAUAGUGGUGAGAACCCAGUACACGAUGCGGAUGCCUAUUACUUUGUGAUACACUUUCGAAGAGUCGAGUUGUUUGGGAAUGCAGCUCAAAUUGGGUGGUAAAUUCCAUCUAAAGCUAAAUAUUGGCGAGAGACCGAUAGCGAACAAGUACCGUGAGGGAAAGAUGAAAAGCACUUUGGAAAGAGAGUUAACAGUACGUGAAAUUGUUGGAAGGGAAACACAUGCAGUGAUACUUGCUAUUCGGGGCAACUCGAUUGGCAGGCCCGCAUCAGUUUUUCGGGGCGGAAAAUCAUAGAGAGAAGGUAGCAGUCUCGGCUGUGUUAUAGCUCUUUAUUGGAUUCGCCCUGGGGGACUGAGGAACGCAGCGUGCUUUUUGCAUGAGCUUCGGCUUAUCCACGCUUA